AGAUGGAAAAGGAGCCAAGUGGCUAGAAACAAAAGAGAGACUCUCAAAGUGUUGAAGAAGGAGAAGAAACCUUUGUGCAGAUACCAACGGGGGAGAAGAACUUGAACGAGUGUCUGGAAAGCACUCUAUGAAGCAGCAGGGGAAGAAUUCUCUCAAGUUGCUAAAGCCGGGAUGCUAUGCUUAUUUUCAGAUCCUGAGCUGUGGUGGAUACUGCCUGCUGUGGCCUGAAUGGCCUCAAUACGUUGAAAUCACGAUAAAGGCAGUGGGGCCGUUGGGGGGCGGGGAUUAAGUCACUAGCGUGGAGCCCUCGUGAAUGGAAUUGGUGCCCUUGUGAAAGAGACCUCGGAGAGCCCCUUUGCCCCUUCCACUCUGUGAGGUUAUAGAUAGAAGAUGCUGUCUGUGAACCAGAAAGCGGGCUGGCACUGACUGCAGUCUCCCGGAGCGUGGACUUCCAGCCUCCCGAUGUGUGAGAAAUCAGACUCUGUUAUUUACAAGCCACCGAGUCUCAGAUAAUCUGUUGGAGUGGCCUGCCUGGACUAAGACACCACCCAGCUGGACUUUGAGGACCGACGUGUGCCUAUGCGGUUUCCACACACGCCGUCCGGUUUAGCCAUGCAGACGAACUGCACCACCACUUAGGUUAGAUAGGCAGUUAAUCGGGCAGAACGUCUGAGCAGGUUCUCCUGUGGCGACUGACUCUGCAGACUCUGGAGAAAUGUCCUAAGUGUUAGAGUCGAAGUUGAAUUUAAGAGAUACAUUUCCUUUUUUUUUAAGUUUAUUUAUUUAUUUAUUUAUUAUUAUUAUUUUUUUAUUAAUUUUUUUUUCAACGUUUAUUUAUUUUUGGGACAGAGAGAGACAGAGCAUGAACGGGGGAGGGGCAGAGAGAGAGGGAGACACAGAAUCGGAAACAGGCUCCAGGCUCUGAGCCAUCAGCCCAGAGCCCGACGCGGGACUCGAACUCACGGACUGCGAGAUCGUGACCUGGCUGAAGUUGGACGCCCAACCGACUGCGCCACCCAGGCGCCCCUUAUUUAUUUAUUUUGAGAGAGAGGGAGAGAGAGAGAGAGAGAGAGAGAGAGGAGACAGCAUGAGCAGGGGAGGGGCAGAGAUAGAGGGAGAGUGGGAAUCCCAAGGAGGGUCCAUGCUGUCAGCACAGAGCCAGACUCGGGGCUGAAU
rnacentral:lncRNA from 1 species